AAAAUUGGAUUUGUUUCAGGUGCCCUUAUAAGGGAUAAUAGGGAAACAGGUGAAAAUCCUGUACGGUCCCGCCACUGUGAAUGGGGAGCAACCCAAAGAAGGCCACUCGGAUUUCCGGGGAAGGUUUGGGAAGCGUUGAGCCAUGAGUCAGGAGACCUGCCUGGGACAAAGGUGCAGC
rnacentral:ncRNA from 2 species